AACAAGUGCUAAUACCGUAUAAUACCAACAACCGCAUGGUUGUUGGUUGAAAGAUGGUUCUGCUAUCACUAAGAGAUGGACCCGCGGUGCAUUAGCUAGUUGGUAAGGUAACGGCUUACCAAGGCAAUGAUGCAUAGCCGAGUUGAGAGACUGAUCGGCCACAAUGGGACUGAGACACGGCCCAUACUCCUACGGGAGGCAGCAGUAGGGAAUCUUCCACAAUGGGCGCAAGCCUGAUGGAGCAACGCCGCGUGUGUGAUGAAGGGUUUCGGCUCGUAAAACACUGUUAUAAGAGAAGAACGGCACUGAGAGUAACUGUUCAGUGUGUGACGGUAUCUUACCAGAAAGGAACGGCUAAAUACGUGCCAGCAGCCGCGGUAAUACGUAUGUUCCAAGCGUUAUCCGGAUUUAUUGGGCGUAAAGCGAGCGCAGACGGUUAUUUAAGUCUGAAGUGAAAGCCCUCAGCUCAACUGAGGAAUGGCUUUGGAAACUGGAUGACUUGAGUGCAGUAGAGGAAAGUGGAACUCCAUGUGUAGCGGUGAAAUGCGUAGAUAUAUGGAAGAACACCAGUGGCGAAGGCGGCUUUCUGGACUGU
rnacentral:rRNA from 1 species